AUUUUAAAACAUAAUAUCUUCUACACUCACAGACUGAGCAGCCUAGUCUUACUAUGACCAGAGUCCAGCCUUAGAUAUGCUGAAUUGCUUGAGGCUUCUCUUGAUUCAUAUUCUCUUCUGGUAAGCUUUGGAAGCAGGUCAAACCUUUAUCAAUUAUUACUUGUCAAAGAUGAACUCAAGGAAAAGACUGCCAUGAACCAAUUGUUGAAGAGCCUAUUAAUCUGUCCCAAACUGAGUCAACGACGCCAAACAAGAAGGAAAGAACCACUUAGAUGGUGGCCGUGGCCCAUGGGGCAGCACUCUUGACUCUUUGCUUGCCAAAAGAGCAGGAGCCUUGGGGUUUCUCUGAGAAGUCUUGCUCCAUAACGUGAAUCCAUGGUGCUCUUAAUUGUAUUUGUUUUUGUCUAGAAGUUAUUAGAUAUAUUAAGAUUUUAUUGAAUCCACGUAUAAAUAAUAAUAAUAAUAAUAAUAAUAAUAAUAAU